rnacentral:lncRNA from 1 species
CACGGGUUCACCUCCUUCCGGUCUGAACAGUGAACUCCGCAUCGACUCACGCGUUCACCUCCUUCCGGUCUAAAUGGUAAACUCCUCUGCAUUUUCUGUUCGGUUCUAUUUUGGUGGGGCCCACGCGUCAUCACAGAGUAUCUGGGAGCCCUGCCCUCUUGCAGAUGGGAAUGAAGGCCCAGGUGCUCUGGAGAGGUGACUCUCCUCUAGUUGUCUCGCUUCUCAGAAAGGAAACACUGGUUCUGUAAACCUGUUUGAGAAGAAAAGCUCGAGGUUUCUUGGCCUCUCUGCUUCUGGAGCCAGGGGAAAAAAUAGCCCCAGGCUGAAGACAGGAGGGACCAGAUUGCUGCUUGGUGAUGCGAUCUCACUGCAGAGGCAGCCAGGAGACCCUCCUGAGACGAAUCGGAGAGUCCAUGCUGCUUUUACACACAUCCUAGUUCUUUUAUAACUAGCCUUUUCCUAUUAACGGACAUCAUUCAAAAGCCAGUUUUAAGCAACAUAAAUAUUGAAAACAAUACUAUACUAUUUAGAAUUAAUUAUAAGUUUUGUUUUUAAAGCCUAAAUCUUUUAUUGUUGUUUGAACCCUGGGCACUGAAGCUAAUAAUGUAACUUUUCUCCCUUCUUUCUUCUUUGGCAUAGAUUUAAAGAACUGUUAGACUCAUUUAAAAUGCUAUUAGGCAUUUUAAAGAGUAAUUGUUAAAUGUGUUGUCUCUUGUGGGACUGGAAAUGUUCUGUUCUUAUCUGGCGCUGGUUACAUCCUGUUUUUCAUUUGGGAAAG